AGCAGUCGCCGCGGGAAUACAGAGGGUGCAAGCGUUAAUCGGAAUUACUGGGCGUAAAGCGCGCGUAGGUGGUUUGUUAAGUUGGAUGUGAAAUCCCUGAGCUUAACUUGGGAAUUGCAUUCGAUACUGGUUAGCUAGAGUGUGGGAGAGGAUGGUAGAAUUCCAGGUGUAGCGGUGAAAUGCGUAGAGAUCUGGAGGAAUACCGAUGGCGAAGGCAGCCAUCUGGCCUAACACUGACGCUGAGGUACGAAAGCAUGGGGAGCAAACAGGAUUAGAUACCCCAGUAGUCCCUGUCUCUUAUAC
rnacentral:rRNA from 1 species